rnacentral:rRNA from 1 species
GGUUAAGCAAUUAAUCUAGAUGAAUUGAGAACUAGCAAAUUAACUGAAUCAAGCGUUUUGGUAUGNNNNNNNNNNNNNNNNNNNNNNNNNNNNNNNNNNNNNNNNNNNNNNNNNNNNNNNNNNNNNNNNNNNNNNNNNNNNNNNNNNNNNNNNNNNNNNNNNCAAGGUUAACCGUAUAGGGGAGCCGUAGAGAAAUCGAGUCUUAAUAGGGCGUUUAGUUGCUGGGUAUAGACCCGAAACCAGGCGAUCUAUCCAUGAGCAGGUUGAAGGUUGGGUAACACUAACUGGAGGACCGAACCCACUGUCGUUGAAAAGCCAGGGGAUGACUUGUGGAUAGGGGUGAAAGGCUAAUCAAGCCUGGUGAUAGCUGGUUCUCCCCGAAAGCUAUUUAGGUAGCGCCUCGGACGAAUACCAUAGGGGGUAGAGCACUGUUUCGGCUAGGGGGUCAUCCCGACUUACCAAACCGAUGCAAACUCCGAAUACCUAUGAGUACUAUCCGGGAGACAGACUGCGGGUGCUAACGUCCGUAGUCAAGAGGAAAACAAUCCAGACCGCCAGCUAAGGCCCCAAAAUCAUAGUUAAGUGGGAAACGAUGUGGGAAGGCAUAGACAGCUAGGAGGUUGGCUUAGAAGCAGCCACCCUUUAAAGAAAGCGUAAUAGCUCACUAGUCGAGUCGGCCUGCGCGGAAGAUGUAACGGGGCUAAAACUAUGUGCCGAAGCUGCGGAUGUAUACUUUGUAUACGUGGUAGGGGAGCGUUCUGUAAGCCGAUGAAGGUGUGUUGAGAAGCAUGCUGGAGGUAUCAGAAGUGCGAAUGCUGACGUGAGUAACGACAAAACGGGUGAAAAACCCGUUCGCCGAAAGACCAAGGGUUCCAGUCCAACGUUAAUCGGGGCUGGGUGAGUCGACCCCUAAGGCGAGGCCGAAAGGCGUAGUCGAUGGGAAAAUGGUUAAUAUUCCAUUACUUCUGUGUAAUGCGAUGAGAGGACGGAGAAGGCUAAAUCAGCCUGGCGUUGGUUGUCCAGGUGAAAGGAUGUAGGCAUGUAUCUUAGGCAAAUCCGGGGUACUCUAUGCUGAGAUCUGAUAGCAAGCUGUACUUGUACAGCGAAGUGGUUGAUGCCAUGCUUCCAGGAAAAGUCUCUAAGCUUCAGUUACACAGGAAUCGUACCCGAAACCGACACAGGUGGUCAGGUCGAGUAGACCAAGGCGCUUGAGAGAACUCUGCUGAAGGAACUAGGCAAAAUGGUACCGUAACUUCGGGAGAAGGUACGCUGUUGUUGGUGAUGGAACUCGCUUCCUGAGCUGACGACAGCCGCAGAAACCAGGCCGCUGCAACUGUUUAUUAAAAACAUAGCACUCUGCAAACACGAAAGUGGACGUAUAGGGUGUGAUGCCUGCCCGGUGCUGGAAGGUUAAUUGAUGGGGUUAGCGUAAGCGAAGCUCUUGAUCGAAGCCCCAGUAAACGGCGGCCGUAACUAUAACGGUCCUAAGGUAGCGAAAUUCCUUGUCGGGUAAGUUCCGACCUGCACGAAUGGCAUAAUGAUGGCGGCGCUGUCUCCAGCAGAGGCUCAGUGAAAUCGAAAUCGCUGUGAAGAUGCAGUGUACCCGCGGCUAGACGGAAAGACCCCGUGAACCUUUACUGCAGCUUGACACUGAACUUUGACCUUACUUGUGUAGGAUAGGUGGGAGGCUUUGAAGCUGGAACGCUAGUUCCAGUGGAGCCGUCCUUGAAAUACCACCCUGGUAAUGUUGAGGUUCUAACUCUGUCCCGUGAUCCGGGACGAGGACCGUGUCUGGUGGGUAGUUUGACUGGGGCGGUCUCCUCCUAAAGAGUAACGGAGGAGUACGAAGGUGCGCUCAGCGUGGUCGGAAAUCACGCGUAGAGUAUAAAGGCAAAAGCGCGCUUAACUGCGAGACCCACAAGUCGAGCAGGUACGAAAGUAGGUCUUAGUGAUCCGGUGGUUCUGUAUGGAAGGGCCAUCGCUCAACGGAUAAAAGGUACUCUGGGGAUAACAGGCUGAUACCGCCCAAGAGUUCAUAUCGACGGCGGUGUUUGGCACCUCGAUGUCGGCUCAUCUCAUCCUGGGGCUGAAGCAGGUCCCAAGGGUAUGGCUGUUCGCCAUUUAAAGAGGUACGCGAGCUGGGUUUAGAACGUCGUGAGACAGUUCGGUCCCUAUCUACCGUGGGCGCUGGAAAUUUGAGAGGAUCUGCUCCUAGUACGAGAGGACCAGAGUGGACGAACCUCUGGUGUACCGGUUGUGACGCCAGUCGCAUCGCCGGGUAGCUAUGUUCGGAAGGGAUAACCGCUGAAAGCAUCUAAGCGGGAAGCCUACCUCAAGAUAAGAUUUCCCUAGGACUUUAUGUCCUCUAAAGAGCCGUUCGAGACUAGGACGUUGAUAGGUUGGAUGUGGAAGCAUAGUGAUAUGUGAAGCUGACCAAUACUAAUUGCUCGUGAGGCUUGACUAU